rnacentral:sRNA from 1 species
UUAAAAUAUUAUUAAUAUGCUGUUUUAAUAGGGGUUAAAACUUCAGUUUUUUAACAAUUGUCUCAUGGAUUCGUGGUAUAGCGUUACUUAAUAGCAAUUAUAAACUGUAAAAUAUAAAUAUUUUAUAAAAAUAAAAUUUGCAAGUUUUAAUAUAUUAUUUUUAAAAAAUAAAUCGUUCCGCGGUCUACUGCGGGUUAAAAUCUAGUUUGUCCAUAUUGCAGGAUACAUAGUUCUUUUUCUU